ACUAGAAGUCCACUUACAACAACAGUAGUCUUUUACGUCUUGACAAACGGGAUCAAAAUGAUCAUCAAAGUCAUUCAAUGUUGGAUUAAUCAUCAUGGACAUGUUGUACAAAGCCUCCGGAGGGACACUGAAGAUCCAGGCCGCACCACAACUCUUCUGAAAGGGGCCACGAUCGAAAGGAAGCCUGGAGCGGCGCAGGUGUUGGGCAUCUCGUCGGAAAAACAAACCUUCUCUCCUCGCCCCCCAACAGGUCGAGGCAGAUGGCCGCCCGCACAACUGAGUGAGUUUCUGCAAGAGGCGUUUUCCUGUUAAAGCGAGUCACGUGGAGCUGGGAGCCAGGAGCCACGGCGGGAGCCUCCUCCAGGACAAAGCACUUGGAGCACGGACACACUGAGGGCCUUGUUCCCCCGUUUGCCUGGCUCCAUGUCAACUGCAAGAAGCUCAAACUCGUUCACAGUUGGGAGUCAGCGGCCAGGUCACAAGAGGGACUCUUAACUUAACAAGAGGCUCAGGGAGCACAGCACAGGAGAUGUGGAGAUGAAAAAGAGAGAGGAGAGGAGGAAACAAGUCAUGAGAAAUAGAAGCGAGAAGAAGAAGCAAUGGGUGAGUCUGUCAGGAGACUGUGUGCGUGUGUGUGUGUGUGUGUAUGUGUGUGUGUGUGCGUGCGUGUGUGUGUGUGUGCGUGUCCGUCCUGUGCAGAAUGAAGUAACCCUGUCAGAGUCUCAGCUCCCCCUCUGGGCUGCUGCUGAUUAAUUGUCCGUCCAGCUCCUGUGAUAGCAACCGCUUUAACCAAGACUCCCAAGACACUCACCCAUGUCCUAUCCCUGCCGAAAGACACCUCUCCUCCUGUGCACCCGGCUGCCUGGCUGCCCUUCUCUGGCUAAAAUUAGGAGAGUUUCUCUUUUUAAUUUUUCUUGCUCCCCAUAUCCCUUGUUUUCCCUCUCACUCUGGCAGCUACAAAUAAUCUUAUACCAGCACCCCAGUCACCUUGCCGUCGGGGGAUGAUGUCUCUCUGUGGGGGAGAGGUUUUGGAACAAAGGCAGGGGGGCCGAAAACAGUAUGAUAUGCAGUGCACCCCCCCCUGUGUGUUUACACAUGCACCAGUGACAUGCCGAGAUAAAACACCCCUGUCUCAGGUAAACAGUCUAGCGCAGCGGGGCAAAAAGGGCAGGAUUGGCUUUGGACCCGGGUUGCACUUAGCUCCUUUUCCCAUUUGAUAUACACUCGUGCCCACCCAUCACAUACACCUCUUCCCUUGUCUGAUGUUCCUGCAAAAAGAAGAAUAAAAAUCACCUACUUUGGCAGUGGUGUUAUAUAAAGAGAAUAAUUUCCUGGAUCAUAUUUUUUGGCAGUAUAUUAACUGCCAUACUCAGCACUGUGCCCUUCUUCCCCUCCCUCCCCGCCAAGCUGCAGAACCAUAGCAUCCAUCCGGAUGGCUAUAUAGCCAGCCCCCAAAAGCAGCCAAGGUCAAUUGCCUUCCCUGCUCCCCUCAUCCUGUGCUUUAUGUACCUUCACAUUCAGGGAAAGAGAGCUGCGCUAUUUCUGCUCUGCUGCAAGGUGACUGCUGCCUCACACCAGCGACAGCCGCACUGACACAGGCUAGAAGGAGCGUUUCCUCGGAGCUGCUCUUAUUUUGAAAGUGAAUUUAUAAAAUAGCUCUUCACAGAACACUCCAAUGUAUGAUGUUACUAUUCAUAAAGAUGCUCUUAUCUGUGGCAACGUUCAUCUGCCACCAGAUACUAGUCUUGUUAAGAAUCCAACAAAAAAAACCAACCAUAGAUAAAAGAUUCAUUCUGUAGAGAAAGUUGAAUGUACAUUUGGUGGAUGUUAAAGGGACAUGAAAUGACCAUAAUGUGGGCUUUGAAAGAGCUGAUGAUCAAUACUAACGACUCAAUUACUCCACCGAGCUCGGAGAUUCCUGUAUUUUCUGGCUCAUACUCUCACUCUCUUGGAACAAAAAUGAAAUCAAUAUUCCACUACCACAACACGUUUUGUAGACUAAACUGAUCUCGGUGUGUUAACACAGUCGCCCCAGUCGUCAUUUUGUCAAGAGGUAGCAUGUCAGAUUAUUAUAAUGGUUAGAAUAAUUCCAGAAAAAUAAUGUUUGAUUUUCAUGUUUGCUUGGACUGGAUGCUGACCUACAGAGACUGAGAGCCGAGGCUGAGAAAUAUGUAUUCCUGGUGAGAAGUAGCAAAUCAAAACUGAUCAUUAUUUUGUACUUUUUACAUUAUUUGCGUUCUCUUUGUCUCAGCCUGUUUGACUCUGGUGUUCAAUGCAGCCUCCAUUUCUCCUCAUCUACAGCGCUGAUGACUAAUAUCUAUUUGACUAUUAUUCAGACUGAGACUUAUAUGCUCACGCUCCUCAGCCAUUGAGCUCAAUUUUACA